UACGUAGGGUGCAAGCGUUGUCCGGAAUUAUUGGGCGUAAAGAGCUUGUAGGCGGUUUGUCGCGUCUGCUGUGAAAUUUCGGGGCUCAACCCCGAACUUGCAGUGGGUACGGGCAGACUAGAGUGUGGUAGGGGAGACUGGAAUUCCUGGUGUAGCGGUGAAAUGCGCAGAUAUCAGGAGGAACACCGAUGGCGAAGGCAGGUCUCUGGGCCACUACUGACGCUGAGAAGCGAAAGCGUGGGGAGCGAACAGG
rnacentral:rRNA from 1 species